rnacentral:rRNA from 1 species
AUUGAACGCUGGCGGCAGGCCUAACACAUGCAAGUCGGACGGUAGCACAGAGGAGCUUGCUCCUCGGGUGACGAGUGGCGGCCGGGUGAGUAAUGCCUGGGGAUCUGCCCGAUAGAGGGGGAUAACCACUGGAAACGGUGGCUAAUACCGCAUAACGUCGCAAGACCAAAGAGGGGGACCUUCGGGCCUCUCACUAUCGGAUGAACCCAGAUGGGAUUAGCUAGUAGGCGGGGUAACGGCCCACCUAGGCGACGAUCCCUAGCUGGUCUGAGAGGAUGACCAGCCACACUGGAACUGAGACACGGUCCAGACUCCUACGGGAGGCAGCAGUGGGGAAUAUUGCACAAUGGGCGCAAGCCUGAUGCAGCCAUGCCGCGUGUAUGAAGAAGGCCUUCGGGUUGUAAAGUACUUUCAGCGGGGAGGAAGGCGAUGUGGUCAAUAACCGCGUCGAUUGACGUUACCCGCAGAAGAAGCACCGGCUAACUCCGUGCCAGCCGCCGCCGUAA